GAGAUACAAUCGAAAGCUUGAAACACAUAUCGACGAUCAACUUUCAAAGCUACGAUGGAAAUGCUAAACUGGAGAGAUAAUCGUGAAGGACCUCUACCCUGACAAGUUAGCCAUAAGUGGAAAAGAGCGGAUAGUUUUAACAAUGCUGCCAAUGAUGAAUUGUUGAUCGCUACAGCUGAAAAAAUUGAUGCGGAUCUAGCGAUGGAAACAACCUCAACCGAUAUGGUACAGAACAAACCGGUCAGCCAUCUGGAAUCUAUGCGACCAGGGAUUCCCACGACUCAAUGCAUGCUACCGGACCAAGGGGAAUCUGCAAGGAGUGUUCCAUUGACUUCAACCCGUCUGCCUGUCUGCUUUUCUCAUCCUGUGUCAGGUCCUGUCCGUCGCUCCCCUUGAGGCGCGCCCAGAGUGCCCGCUUCGGGGUUUGGUUCUGUCAUGACCUGCACGUCCAGUCCUCGUGUGUACCACGCCCACCUUGUUACCUUCGUGUGAAUCCCGCUUGUUACCAGCCUAUCCCGGAAGCAAUGGGCACGAGGCAGGGAACAACCCAGGAUGGGGGGCCAGCCCAUCGCAGGGCACACUCACACACCAUUCACUCUCACAUGCACACCUACGGGCAAUUUAGCAACCUCUAGCAAGUCGUAUUUCCUUAAAAGACUGUUGGAAAAUGUGGGUUGUACAUUUUCCAGAGUGCCUGAAAAUGUUGUAUGGUGAUAUUCUUGCUGGCAACCGUUGUGUGAUAAACUGAAAUUUGUGGAAGGAAUUACAGAUUCUCUGUGAGACGAUGACCUUUUGCAAUCAAAUAAAAUCAACCUAAUCAUCAUUGACAAUCUUAUUGAAAAAGCCUGCGACAAUAACGAAGUCGAAAAAGCUUUUAUCAAGUACUUGCAUCACAGAAAUCUAAUUGUUAUA